UACGAAGGGGGCUAGCGUUGCUCGGAAUCACUGGGCGUAAAGCGCACGUAGGCGGCUUUUUAAGUCAGGGGUGAAAUCCUGGAGCUCAACUCCAGAACUGCCUUUGAUACUGAGAAGCUUGAGUCCGGGAGAGGUGAGUGGAACUGCGAGUGUAGAGGUGAAAUUCGUAGAUAUUCGCAAGAACACCAGUGGCGAAGGCGGCUCACUGGCCCGGUACUGACGCUGAUGCGCGACAGCAUGGGGAGCAAACAGG
rnacentral:rRNA from 1 species